CGCUAUUAGUAGGUAAAUUAUCUAUGAAACUAUGCGUAAACGCUUAUAUGCAUUAUUAUAUUACAAUAAUAUUUUAUAUUAUUGAACUAACUACUGAAUUUCUCAACACGGUGAAUAAUAAGCUGUCAUGAUAUAACCGGAAAGACCCGUUUCGCAUAAACAAAAAAACUUUUCCGAACACAUUAAAUAUUCUCAGCGCAAUCCGACAAGUUUUGUUUUGUUAUGUUUUUUUUUAAGAAAAGAUGUUCUGGUAUAUACUAUAUUUUUCACAUUUUUUACAGAGACUCGCAAAUCUUAUGCCGAGCACAUUUUUUAACUUAAUUAUUUUUUUUAAUGUUAUAUAAAUAUAUUUUUUGCUAGAAAAAUAUGUAAAAUAAACGAUAAAGCUAAAAAAUGUUGAUAUUAUCACUUUGUUGUUUCGGGAAUUAAUAACAAAGAAGUUAUUCUAUAAAAAAUAACACAAUGCAAACGAACUUUUGUUGGAUAAACGGCUUCGUGACAAUUGAAAAAUUGAUAUUAUCCAUUUUUUACAUGUACAUAGUGAGCAAAAAAUAAUAAGCAUUCCAAAACAGUUUUAGAAUAAUAAUAAUCAAGAAGACAACUAAGUAUUUAAUCAUUAUCAAUCAUUAAAGUCAUUAUGGGCCUUACGUUGCAAUCAUAACAUCAUCAUCACGAGGCUCAAUAGUAUUUGACGUUAUGCUAUACAUGUAAUUCAUCUUUUCUUUGAAACGCGGACACCAGGCACCUGAGAUCUGUCUAUUUAAAUGCCAUUAGUUACCAUUGAGUUGCCAAGCAACCGAAAGAUGAACACUGAACUACGGUGAAUUAAAAUUCUGUUUUACAUUGUUAAAUAGUUAUUGUUGUUCUUAUAAACUAUAAAUGAAACAUUAUAAUUAAAAGUUUAUAACAGUUAUCAGGCAGAUCUGACAUGUCUAAGUAAUUGUUUAUGAUUAAUUGUUACCGGUACACGAAAAGAAAACAUUACUAUAAUUAUUUUAAGUUAUUUUUAACAUUUGUACUUUUUUCGAAUAUUUAUCCAAUUGAAAAUUAACCACGUUGAAAACAGUACGAAAAACUUUUUCUUCAGGCGUUAAACUUAGACAGAAAACCCAAUUGCAAAAAUGUUUCAUAACUUAUAAAAAAAUUAUACUUUUUUCUUUAAGCAGUAUAUUUUUCAUUUUUGUGAACUUAAUUUUGUUGUCUUUAAAUUGCAACUCAAUUGUAAUAUUUUUUCAAUGAUUUAAUUUAAAAAUCAAUGUAACUAUCUCUACUGGAAAACUUAUUUUUUUAA